rnacentral:rRNA from 1 species
CGGAAACGAGUUAUCUGAACCUUCGGGGAACGAUAACGGCGUCGAGCGGCGGACGGGUGAGUAAUGCCUAGGAAAUUGCCCUGAUGUGGGGGAUAACCAUUGGAAACGAUGGCUAAUACCGCAUAAUGCCUACGGGCCAAAGAGGGGGACCUUCGGGCCUCUCGCGUCAGRAUAUGCCUAGGUGGGAUUAGCUAGUUGGUGAGGUAAGGGCUCACCAAGGCGACGAUCCCUAGCUGGUCUGAGAGGAUGAUCAGCCACACUGGAACUGAGACACGGUCCAGACUCCUACGGGAGGCAGCAGUGGGGAAUAUUGCACAAUGGGCGCAAGCCUGAUGCAGCCAUGCCGCGUGUGUGAAGAAGGCCUUCGGGUUGUAAAGCACUUUCAGUCGUGAGGAAGGUAGUGUAGUUAAUAGCUGCAUUAUUUGACGUUAGCGACAGAAGAAGCACCGGCUAACUCCGUGCCAGCAGCCGCGGUAAUACGGAGGGUGCGAGCGUUAAUCGGAAUUACUGGGCGUAAAGCGCAUGCAGGUGGUUUGUUAAGUCAGAUGUGAAAGCCCGGGGCUCAACCUCGGAAUUGCAUUUGAAACUGGCAGACUAGAGUACUGUAGAGGGGGGUAGAAUUUCAGGUGUAGCGGUGAAAUGCGUAGAGAUCUGAAGGAAUACCGGUGGCGAAGGCGGCCCCCUGGACAGAUACUGACACUCAGAUGCGAAAGCGUGGGGAGCAAACAGGAUUAGAUACCCUGGUAGUCCACGCCGUAAACGAUGUCUACUUGGAGGUUGUGGCCUUGAGCCGUGGCUUUCGGAGCUAACGCGUUAAGUAGACCGCCUGGGGAGUACGGUCGCAAGAUUAAAACUCAAAUGAAUUGACGGGGGCCCGCACAAGCGGUGGAGCAUGUGGUUUAAUUCGAUGCAACGCGAAGAACCUUACCUACUCUUGACAUCCAGAGAACUUUCCAGAGAUGGAUUGGUGCCUUCGGGAACUCUGAGACAGGUGCUGCAUGGCUGUCGUCAGCUCGUGUUGUGAAAUGUUGGGUUAAGUCCCGCAACGAGCGCAACCCUUAUCCUUGUUUGCCAGCGAGUAAUGUCGGGAACUCCAGGGAGACUGCCGGUGAUAAACCGGAGGAAGGUGGGGACGACGUCAAGUCAUCAUGGCCCUUACGAGUAGGGCUACACACGUGCUACAAUGGCGCAUACAGAGGGCGGGCAACUUGCGAGAGGUGAGCGAAUNCCAAAAAGGGCGUCGUAAUCCGGAUCGGAGUCUUCAACUCGACUCCCUGAAGUCGGAAUC